GAGUAUUUCCCUGAAAAGAAAAAUCCUUGGUUGAAGAUUGUUUUAGGUGUUGGGAUUCCUGUAGUGUCUCUUUUGAUUCUUGGCGCGGCGUGUUUAGGGUAUUGUUAUCAUAAGAAAAGGAUUGAUAGGUCACAGUCUAACAUAUUGGGUGCACUCAAGAGUUUGCCUGGAACUCCACAAGAGUUUCAGUUCAAGGCUUUGAAGAAAGCUACAAACAAUUUUGAUGAAAAGAAUAAGCUUGGGCAAGGAGGAUAUGGAGUUGUUUACAGAGGAUUUUUAGCUGGUGAGGAGAACAAAGAUAUUGCUGUCAAAUGGUUUUCUAGGGAAAGCAUCAAAGGGCAAGAUGAUUUCUUGGCUGAGCUUACUAUUAUCAAUCGUCUUCGACAUAAACAUCUUGUCAAAUUGCUUGGAUGGUGUCACAAGAAUGGAAAGCUACUGCUUGUAUAUGAAUACAUGCCUAAUGGCAGUCUAGAUAUGCACCUCUUUGCGGGCCCAGAUAAAGAGCCGCUGAGCUGGCACGUCCGCUACAAGAUUGUGCAAGGUGUGGCCUCAGCAUUACAUUAUCUGCACAAUGAGUAUGAGCAGAGGGUGGUCCAUCGCGACCUGAAGGCGAGUAACAUCAUGCUUGACUCAAAGUUCAAUGCGCGCCUUGGGGACUUUGGCCUUGCGCGAGCACUUGACAACGAAAGGACCUCGUAUGCUGAGGCAGAAGGAGUGCUUGGUACAAUGGGAUACAUUGCACCAGAGUGUUUCCACACAGGGAAAGCCACACAGCAAUCUGAUGUGUACGCGUUUGGGGCAGUGUUAUUGGAAGUUGUAUGUGGCCAGAGACCUGGAACCAAGAUUAAUGGCUUUCAAUUCUUUGUUGAUUGGGUUUGGUACUUGCACCGCGAUGGCCGUAUCUUGGAAGCUGUUGAUCCAAGGCUUGGAGAUGACUAUGUUGCUGAUGAAGCAAAGAAACUUUUACUACUUGGUUUGGCUUGUGCACAUCCUAUAGCUACUGACAGGCCUAAAACACAGGCAAUAGUUCAGAUUAUAUCAGGGUCAGCACCAGCACCAGAAGUUCCACCAUUCAAGCCAGCAUUUGUGUGGCCAUCAAUGGUGCCAAUUGACAUAGACUCAAGUGUUAUGGACACAACAUCCAUUACUACUUCUCACUUCAAUUCAGGAUGGAGUCUAGACUAUCAAAGCAGGGAGACCCCAACAUAUGCAGAUCACUCUUUGGUGUAGUUACUUGAUGGUAAACAACUAUUACCAAAAGGAAAAUUGAUUUUUUUGGCCUUCAAUUUUUUAAAAAUAUUUCCUGUAAUUAUGUUUUCCUGGGAGGAGGUUAAAAAUUUCCUUCAGUUUUUCACUUUUUGUUUGAUGUUAUUUUUCUUCUUUUCAAUUUGUUAAUGGAGCAUGAUG
rnacentral:misc_RNA from 1 species